rnacentral:snoRNA from 18 species
UUGCAUGAUGAGCAAUCCAUUAUUAGUUAUCCCUGUCAGAAAUAUACUGUUGAUAACAUACAACUCUGAUUU